CUCUCUAUCUCUCUCUCUAUCUCUCUCCCUCUCCCCCCCCCCAUACCUUACAGAAGUGCUGUAAGCCAGUGCUGGUGUUGUUGAAGUUCUGUUCUACCCAUACACCCUGUUCAGUUCUCACCACCCUACGUCCUUCCAGUCAAACCUUUCUGUUGGCACGGUGAUAGGACAGUUCCAGACACCGUCUCUUCUCCCCCCGUCCUCCAGCCUGCGUUGUGUUAGAAGUAGCUGGGGGAGCAGUCUUUAAGAGGCAGAUAUAAACAGGCAUUAAAAGGCAGCAUGGUCUUAAUUAGGCGAAGCUGUGCACGUGGUAUGUGUGUGUGUGUGUGUGUGUUUCAUGUUGAUGCCUCUAGUGUGUCUAAUUGUUUGUGUAUGCGUGUGUGUGCAGCAUGAGGCCAGUGUGCUAAUCACCUAGCUUGCGUUUUAUAGCUCAACACAAUCAUUUAACGAUGCUGGAAUGAGACAUGCUCAGUACGCUCCCUUCAGAGCAGAGGGGUCGAGGCGCCUCCUCCAAUCAUUUCCAGGCUCGUUUCUUGUCCCUGUCGCCGUGGUCAUCUGCAUAAUGUCCCCUAAUAUUUCCCUACGGUAACAUGCCCUAGGUUGUGCAUUCAGUUUGUAUAUCACAGGAUCACGGAACAAGUUGGAGGUGAGAAAUAAGCCAAACAGCCAGGGAAAUAGAUUAUAUUUUCCAAACACAAAGAGACAGGCCACAGAUUGGUUUCAGGGCCUUUCCAGAAGGUUCCGUUGAAUGUGUAGCUUGGCUUUGGUCUUGUUCAGUUGUUUUUGUUCUGGCUUUGACAGGCAACAGAAAACACAUGAGCUGGCAGGCUGUGCAAGGCAGGACCUACUGUAAGGCAGUUUGGACCAGCGUCAGAUGAGCCCGGUUCCUAUUAACACGCACCCGGACUUGACCCGCUGAAGUGGGACGGCAGCAUUUUCAAGGUACACACCCUGUGUACAUACGCGCUAGAGUAACCUGACUCCAGCAAACAUGGCCGUGCCUGUACAGAAGAGAUCCUAUCGGCCCCUGCUGCCAGUGUUGUUCAAUCCUAAGAGGAGGAACAUCAAGCUGCUGGAAGACAGUGUGGUUUUACAAUGGCCUGUUCCUCAUAUCAGCCAAGGAAUCCAGAUUCCGGGAAUAAGACGUGCUCUCCUGUUUCUCAUGGAUUCUUGCGGAAAGACCAGAACAGACACCAGAGGCUGACCUGCGAGAGACUAAGAGCAAAGACCAGAGGCUGACCUGCGACAGACUAAGAGCAGAGACCAGAGGCUGACCUGCGACAGACCAAGAGGAGUCAACAGGAGUGUGAUGGCCUGGCCUGGAACGUACCAUUUAGGAGCUGCACCAGUGGUGUGAUGGACAGAUCUUGACUGUACCAUGUUGGAGCUGCACCAGGGUUGUGAUGACCUGACCCGGACUGUACCAUGUUGGAGCUGCACCAGGGUUGUGAUGGCCAGAUCUUGACUGUACCAUGUUGGAGCUGCACCAGGGUUGUGAUGGCCAGAUCUUGACUGUACCAUGUUGGAGCUGCACCAGGGUUGUGAUGACCUGACCUGGGCUGUACCAUGUUGGAGCUGCACCAGGGUUGUGAUGACCUGACCUGGGCUGUACCAUGGACCCUACUAUUGAGGAGUAAUAACAGGUGGGGGCCAGGAGAGGUCCAGUCUGGUAUGGCUACUGUCAGAAGCUACCUUGUUAGAAAAAUCACAGCUAGGAUCCAUGCCUGCUGGACUCACUGACAGGAUUUGUCCUGAACACCAUAGGACAGUCCCAUGGCUGUUUUGGAACGAUCCACUCCACCAUUUCUGGAAAGGUAACUUUUUUGAAUUAAGCCCCUUUUUGGAGAGCUCCAGUAUUAAUGGAACGGCCUUUUCUACUGCUGUACCUGACACUUUCCAUGAGAGACUCAGUUUUUUUUUUCUCCAGGGAGACUAUCUUUUGGGAGUAAAGGAUCGUUCAUUUCACAAUAUCUUUGUUUUAAAAACACUGACACAAUGCUUAUUCUGUUGUUAAACAUUUGCAAUUGUUUGAGGACACCACUCUGCCAAUCUUCCAACAAGUAAACAUUAAAAAAAUUCAGAAACAUUA